GAUGAAGAACGUAGCGAAAUGCGAUACGUAAUGUGAAUUGCAGAUUUCAGUGAAUCAUCGAAUCUUUGAACGCACAUUGCGCCCGCUAGUAUUCUGGCGGGCAUGCCUGUUCGAGAGUCAUUUCAACCAUCAAGCCCUAGGCUUGCGUUGGAGCCCUGCGGCUGCCGCAGGCUCCCAAAUCCAGUGGCGGGCUCGUCGUCGUACCGAGUGCAGUAAACAUCCUCGCUCAGGGAACGUGACGGGUUCUUGCCGUGAAACCCCCCACAUAUCAAGGUUGACCUCGGAUCAGGUAGGAAUACCCGCUGAACUUAAGCAUAUCAAUAAGCGGAGGA
rnacentral:misc_RNA from 1 species